AUCCAGAUGAAUUCAUAUGCACAACUAACCUAUGUUAAAUUACCACAGUUGGUACAUCACUAAAAAGUAAAUAACACCAUGAAAUUCGAUGACAGAGAAAACCCUUCACAAGAAAAAAACUACGGGCUCAAGUCAGUAAAAAUUCACUAUAAACGAAUCAACUUACAAUACAGUCCAGACUCGACUAACUCUAGUACUUUUUGACCUUCUGACUGUAAUCGCCAAGGCCCUCUUGAAUUGCGUGCUUCUGCACCAACUACUAACCUUUUCGAUUCAUCUAUCUCCUGUAGAUCAUUGAGAACUCCUUGUUCUCCUUCAAUUGGAACUUCGGUCACGUUGCUCGAUAUUUAAAACUCUGACACAUUAUAUGGGAUUAUGGGUUUUGGUGUUUUGAUUACUUGGAUUUGAUGUUUCCAAUGAUUUGAUUUAAUGAAGAACUAUAUGUAUGAUGUGUCGGAUGUGAUCUCUCUUUUAACACAAUGUUCAACCCACACUAUUCACGAAGUGGGGGUAUAGGUAUAUAUAGCCCUUGUUUGAAUCUCACUUUUUGAAAAAAAAAAAAAAAAAAACAUUCUUUAAUAUUGUUUUGACAUCAUUUCAAUUAUACAUUUUUCAAUAAAAUAAUAUUAUACGCAAAUUCAAAACAUUUUCUUAUUUUUUAACCACACAUUUUACAUCAUUACACUAUUCAAAAAUGCAUUUUCUUGGAAAAAAUGGGGCUCAAACAAGGGUAUAGUAUAGAGGUUUUGGGGUAGUAUAGGAUAGAUAAAACUCUUGAAAAAUAUGAACUAGGAUUUCUUGGGAAAAUAUAGUCGCUUGAGUGAGAAUUUAGUGAUAGGUGCUCCUCUCAAGCUUUAGGCUGGUGACAGGCUAACAAUAGUACUUCUAUUUUGGACAGUUGAUCAACAGUUUGGCGGUAGGCUAGCAUAUUUCAGGCAGCUUUUUUCCUUUGUUACAUAAACGAUCCCAAGGGCUCCUAUUUCAUUUGUACAUCCUGCCAAUUUACUCUUUGACGUUUUUUUUUUUUUACAACUAUAUUUUUGUCUAAAGAUUGCUAACAACUAUAAAACCUACCAGCACUGAUCUUCAUCAUGUCAAUCAACAUGCAUUUGUAAUUAAGUUGAGCAAACUAAUCUCGUUCUUAAUAAAUUGUUAAACUUCAACUGCAGAAUUCUCCAAAAAUAUCAUAAAAAGAAAUUAAAAGCAUGUAUUGGUAAGGAUAUACAAGAUUUUAACGUCCCUUAUCUUUCUUGAUACCAUCGAGUAAUGUGCAGGCAUAAAUGUUAUGCACGUCACUGUUCAUAAGUUAAGAGCUGUCCAUUCUGCUUCUACAUUCAGAAAACAUUGAAGGGCUCCAAAACCAACUCUCCGAGGAACUCUAUACCAAAAAAAAUGAGUUGUCCAUUAAUCUGUUGCCAAUAAUUCAUGAAUUUGAAUCAAACACCGGUUAAUCUACAGAUUUUCAUGGCAAUAAACGAAAGAUACCAAAUGGAAGAGAAAAUUUCAAGAAUGCCUGAAAAAUCAUAAUUAAAUUGUGGCCAUAAACAAGACAGUAUCAACAGCCACAAACUAAAUCUUAUUCCAACCCGGCCUAAAUAAAACUAAGAAGAAGUCUUAAUUUUAAAUGCAUGAACAGAUCAAGAUGCUUAUGAUUGAGCAUCUCGUAAGCAUCUUGAUCUGCUCGUGCAUUUUAAGGUACACAUUUUCCUAGUGCCUUUCCAUCCUGGCAUGAGUCUUUUGUGUUCUGUAAAUUUAUUGUUAUCGAUCCAGGUUUCAUUUAGGCAGAGUUCAAUUAUUUAUUGAGAAAUUUUCCUGCUUCAAUAUCCUUGUAUCACUCAGAUUUGCUCAUGAUAAAUGUAUAUAUAGUUCUGAUUCGAUUCACGUUUUCUAAACAAAAAAUAAAAUAAAAUAAAAAAAUCCAUAAUCUGUCUCGAAAAAUAAUCAACCGAUAGGAUUCUUCAAGAUAGGUUAGAUCAAUCAGAUCUACAUCAAUCAAGCACCCUUCAUAAAACCCUAAAGAUUAAAUGUUGAAAGAUGAAAUUCUAUAAAAUCACAACCCUUCAUAAAAAUUCCGAGCUUCAAGAGAUCCAAUGAACAAUAGACCAUUGAACUUUAAAUUAACAAGGCUUAGCUAUAAUAAGACUCUCAGUUCAUUGGAUUAAUAAGAAAAUAAGAUAAAAAUGCGAAGAUAAUUACAAAUUUUCUCUUAACAAUUUAAUGUAGAAGAAAAGGAAGAGCAUUCCAACCCUAAAAGUAAAUGCCCGACACCAUAUAUUUAAUCAGAAACAAAAUGCCAAGAAACAAAAGGGUUUCAUUAUAUAUAUAAGAGAGUACACACAACAAAUUUGCAGACAUCAAGGCUCACCUUCCAAAGCAUGUCUAGGGAUCACGACAUCCACGGAAUUUCUGUCAAAAAAUACUAAGAAUCUAUUAACACCAAAAAGGAACAAAACCAUAAACCUAUAUGUGUAAACACAUAAACGUGAUAUGACUGCCUAAAAGCAUUCAAAAUUCAGGUGAACCCAAAAACACAUGAAACAAUACAAUAAGGAAAUCGCACACCAUUUAUGCAAUAAAGAGAAACCCUAGUUGAUUGAAUUAGAAAAUAGGGUUUUCCAUGGCACCGGCAUCAGAUGAAGCAACCAUGUGAUCUUAUCGUUUCUGAACGAAGAAGAAACGUUUAGAUCACGCUGGCAGCUUCAACUCAUGCGAGUGCAUGAUGAUGAUCAUAAAACAAGCACGGCUGAUGGCAGCCUUCGUUACUGAAUUCCCAUUAGGGCAUUUGGCUAAAGGUAAAGGAAAAGAAAACCCAAUCAAAUUAGAGUGUUGAAAUCAGCUACAAAUUUUUUUAUGAAAAGAAUUUACCUAUAGAAUAGGGGCAUAUGGGACUAUAAAUAGAGGUAUGAAACAGUAGGGGGAUUUAAUUAAAGGGAAAUAUAGUUUUUUGUCGAUAAAAGAUGGAAAAUUUGUGAAGGAAAAGCAAAGGAGAGGCAUAU
rnacentral:lncRNA from 1 species